UGGCAGAGAACUCAAGAAAGAGAAUGCUGUUGUCCCUUGGCGAUAAAAAGGGGUUCCACCCAGGAUCCCAAAACUGAAAAUAUUUAUUUUCUAUGAAUGAUGAAACCUCAUGAGACAUGGUCUGAAGGGACUUGACAGGAUCAAUGGUGAAAGGAGAUUUCCUCUGACUGGAGAGUCUACAAGUAGAAGAAGUAGUUUCACGGUCUGAGAGAGGCAGAGGGAAACUCCUCCCGUAUUAUGUUCAUGGCCCUCUCCUGCCCCACACAUACUGUUAUAUAACUGAAUGAAAUUGAAAAUGGCAGAAUUUCACAAAAACUGAAGAGGAAAAUACAAGACUCCAAGGCAAAAAGAAAUGAACAAGAAAUCUGCCCUUCGACCAAUCAAUUCUACAGUCACAGUAAUAAUGCAAGAAACCAAAGCUGCAGUCAACUUGUGCUCAGCAAGAUCUCACAACUGACAAAGGUGGUAAUAAUCCUAAACCCAACCUGCAAUGAAACUGAACAAAGCACAGUAAACUUUUGCUAUAAAUUCUGUGUCUUAUGAUCUUAUACUCCACAAUCACCUGAUGAAGGAGCAGCCCUCUGAAA